rnacentral:rRNA from 1 species
UACGAAGGGGGCUAGCGUUGUUCGGAAUCACUGGGCGUAAAGCGCACGUAGGCGGAUUUUUAAGUCAGGGGUGAAAUCCCGAGGCUCAACCUCGGAACUGCCUUUGAUACUGGAGAUCUUGAGUCCGGAAGAGGUAAGUGGAACUGCGAGUGUAGAGGUGAAAUUCGUAGAUAUUAGGAAGAACACCAGUGGCGAAGGCGGCUCACUGGCCCGGUACUGACGCUGGGGUACGAAAGCGUGGGGAGCAAACAGG